AAUCAACGCUGGCGGCGUGCCUAACACAUGCAAGUCGAACGCGAAAGCCCGCAAGGGUAAGUAGAGUGGCGCACGGGUGAGUAACACGUGGACAACCUGCCUUCGAGUGGGGAAUAACCUUCCGAAAGGAGGGCUAAUACCGCAUAACACCUCGGGACACAAGUUCUGGGGUUGAAAAGAGCAAUUUGCUCGAAGAGGGGUCCGCGCCUGAUUAGCUAGUUGGUGAGGUAACGGCUCACCAAGGCUUCGAUCAGUAGCCGUCCUGAGAGGGAGCACGGCCACACUGGAACUGAGACACGGUCCAGACUCCUACGGGAGGCAGCAGUGGGGAAUUUUUGGCAAUGGGCGAAAGCCUGACCAAGCAACGCCGCGUGGGUGAUGAAGUAUCUUGGUACGUAAAACCCUUUCGGCAGGGACGAACCUAAUGACGGUACCUGCGGAAGAAGCCCCGGCUAACUCCGUGCCAGCCGCCGCCGUAAG
rnacentral:rRNA from 1 species